rnacentral:rRNA from 1 species
GAUUAACGCUGGCGGCGUGCCUAACACAUGCAAGUCGAGCGGCAGCGCGUUUUACACUGAAUUCUGGAAGCUUCUAGUUGAAAGAGAAGAUUUAUUCAAGAAUUUUGUGUAAAAUGUCGGCGAGCGGCGGACGGCUGAGUAACGCGUGGGAACGUACCCCAAAGUGAGGGAUAACGCAUCGAAAGGUGUGCUAAUACCGCAUAUGGUCUUCGGAUUAAAGCCUUCGGGCGCUUUGGGAACGGCCUGCGUAAGAUUAGAUAGUUGGUGGGGUAAUGGCCUACCAAGUCGACGAUCUUUAACUGGUUUGAGAGGAUGAUCAGUCAGACUGGAACUGAGACACGGUCCAGACUCCUACGGGAGGCAGCAGUGAGGAAUCUUCCACAAUGGGCGAAAGCCUGAUGGAGCAACGCCGCGUGCAGGAUGAAGGCCUUCGGGUUGUAAACUGCUUUUAUAAGUGAGGAUUAUGACAGUAACUUAUGAAUAAGAAUCGGCUAACUACGUG